rnacentral:rRNA from 1 species
UACGUAGGGGGCAAGCGUUGUCCGGAGUUAUUGGGCGUAAAGAGCUCGUAGGCGGCUUGUCGCGUCGACUGUGAAAUCCCGCGGCUCAACUGCGGGUCUGCAGUCGAUACGGGCAGGCUAGAGUUCGGUAGGGGAGACUGGAAUUCCUGGUGUAGCGGUGAAAUGCGCAGAUAUCAGGAGGAACACCGGUGGCGAAGGCGGGUCUCUGGGCCGAUACUGACGCUGAGGAGCGAAAGCGUGGGUAGCAAACAGG